GAAAUAAAAAGAUCUUAGCAGCUUGAAGUGUAGAUUACUACAGUUAAUGUGGCAGAUAUUAAUAAAUUAAUGUUGCUCAGGGGUGAAAGGCCUUCAAUUUUUAUGAUAUCUGGAUAUUAAUUAAAUACAUUUAGUGUAGGCUAAAGCUGAGCUUAAAAGUGAUAAGAUUUUUAAGAAAGAAAAAUUUUUAUACAACUUGCUUAGUAGUUUAAUCUCUUUCUAAGUUUUAUUUUAAUAAUUGUUUUAGUAUCUCCUUUCCUUUUUAAUUAAUUCUACAAUAAAUAAUAUAUUGUAUUAAUAAUGUUUAAAUUAGUAGUUCAAAAAAAUUUUUUUAAGGAACUAGGCAACAAGCCAUUCGACUGUUUACCAAAAACAUAGCUUAUUGUAGUCAUUUUAGGUGAUCCCUGCCCGGUGAAUUUUCAACGGCCGCAGUACUUUGACUGUGCUAAGGUAGCAUAAUAAUUUGGCUUUUAAUUGAGGUCUAGUAUGAAAGGGUUUUCGAAUGGCUGCUGUCUUAAAAAAACUUAUACAAAUUUACUUAAGAGGUGAAAAUUCCUUUAUUUUAAAUAAAGACAAGAAGACCCUUAGAGUUUUUAAUAGUAUCGCUUGCUUUUUGUUGGGGCGACAAAGUAACAUAUAAACUUACUUUUAGACAAGUCGUAGUUUUAAGGAAUGAAUAAACUACCUAAGGGAUAACAGCAUAAUAAAAAUUUUGUUUAUGACCUCGAUGUUGGAUUAGGAAGAAGUAUAAUUAAACGUUAUAUUUUAAUGUUCUGUUCGAACAGCGGCACCUACAUGAUCUGAGUUCAGACCGGCGUAAGCCAGGUCAG
rnacentral:rRNA from 1 species